ensembl:lncRNA
UAUUUGCUGUGAUUUUCCAUGUAUCUGCUGUUCUAUACUUUUAUGUUCCGACACUAUAAAUGUGAGAAGGUCCAAAAACAUCUGCACUCUUUUGUGUUAUUGCUUGAUUCUAAAUUACUGAAUAUUGGUUACUUGUUGAUUAUUUAUAUGCAAGGUAAAUGAUGUUCCGUUUCCCUGUGUAAACAUCAAAUAAAACUAAAGCAAAGAUAACCAACCUCUCAUUUUAGAGGUCCAGCACACGCCACUGCUGUCAGAAUCACGUCUUCAAGCAUAAGAGGUGUUGUGGUUACUCAGGGAGAUUGCACGCCUGUCACGUAGUAUCGCCUGCUUAUAAAUUUAAGUAAGUGAAUAACAGCGUGUGAGCGAGGGUGCUGUGUGUGUGUCUCACCCGGUGGCCUGGAAAAGCAUUUUCACUCCAGUGAAUCCGUCGUGACAACAGGUAUUAGGGUAUGAUUUGCCACUGAGCUUAAUGGAGCUUAAAGAAAGUGGCCCUGAGCUUCUCUCCUGUCUGUCCCUCCCAUCACAUCACGAGAGUGUUCGUGAAGGCUGGUGUCACCUUGAUAUCAAUGACCUGCCACUAUGCAUAGAGGAUUUAGGACUGUGUGGAGCUGAGGUGAUGCCUCGCAAACACAAGUCCAGCACAAGUUCUGUUUGUCUCUGUCUGUUGGGUUCUCAUAUUAUUUUUUUUUUUAUUGGUACUGUGUUCUUCUUUAGGUCACAGGUCAUGAGCCGAUAUGGUGAUUGUGGAAGGAAGGAGAGAGAGAGAAGGAAGGUACACUGGAUUAGAGUAAGGUCACCAGAGAAAGAGGUCACAGUCACAAAGACAAACAACAAGAUUUCAGGUGAAGAGGUCAGUGCUGUUAUCAUGAGAUGAUGAGGGUGCAAUCUGUGACUGCAUUGAUCUCAGCAAUGGUAAAAAAGCCUCCAUAUGUUGUCCAAUUAUCAGGAACCGUUGGAUGAAUGUCUGUACCUCCACAGACAGGACAUGUGAAAUCCCUCAGAGACUGUUCUGUGAGUCAUUACCCAUCAGCACAAAGAUCACACAUGCUUUCUGCCUCAACUGGUAAAGGUUAACAGUGGUGUCUCAUGUCACUCUGUGGCUUUACGUCAGGGAGGAGGAGGUAUAGGAGGCUUUUGUCUUUAAUCGUCAAAGACAAACUUUCUAUUCACCGACCAUUACGUCUACACCCAAUCCCAUUCCAGCCAUACUCUACUCAAAGCUGUCAUUUAAAAAAAAAUCAUGGCCUGUUUUGUCCAAUUUGAGCCCAUGAAUGGAGACUCCCUUGUGUUUUGUUGAGGAGAUCUUGGGUGCUAGACAUACAAUGACAUGUUUAGCUUGGAAACAAGCCAGCUUCUCAUGACAUAUUAUGUGUCUUUCAGAUAUAUGCUCUGCAUAAACACAGUCUGACACUGUCAAACAUGUCCAACAAAGCAGUUAAUGUCUAUGUAAUGGCCAUCUUUUAACAUGGGAUUUAGAGACUCUCUGAGAGAUUUCUUCCUGGCAUUGAUGGAAGAGAUCAGCCGUGCACCAGAUGUGAUAAAUUUUCCCGGGUUUCCCGUUUAGCGUGGUGUUCAAGAGCGCCAGGGUUGGUUGUUUUCUUUUGUUACCCAAUGACACGCUGUCAUGUAAAACGGAAUAUAAAACAUUCCUAUUAAGGAAACGAGCGAUUAAACAUGAAAAGGCUUGGAUGGCUCUCUGUUAUAAAUUAAUAAUUCCGAAAUCCUUUUCCCCUCACUCCGUGUCUCUAGGUGUCAGCCUUAAUGACUAGCUUUAAAAAAGAUAUGCCUACCGCGUACAUCUCUGCAGAUGAGCGGUCAUCGCGGCAUUGUGCCUUAAAAUUGCUUGUCAUAAAUUACCCCUCCCUGCAUUCGCCCGCAGCACUUGAUGUCUUGAAUUCGGGCCAUUUUGCAAGCUGUAUUCAAGCAUGAACUUCAAUUUGCUUUUCAUAAAGGGAUUACACAGCCACUAUUGUCACUCUUCACCACAUGUACCUUUCACUCAUGAAGCACAAUUGCGUUCUGAUUUCCCAGCAACUGGUGUGGGCCCCUGAUGUCGUUCCUCGCCCCUGCCUUUAGAUUCAUCCCAUUUCGGCAGGACGUCUGAAGCAAUAGCAGAUAAAGAUGAAUACAGGGAUGAGGUUAUAGAGGUUGACAGGAGGAGUGAGUGAGAGAAGAUAGCAAAAUCAUUAUGAGAACUUAUAAAUCUUUAUGGUGUGUAUGUGGAAGGUUAACUGUGCUAGCAUGUGCUGUGAGAACAUUCCUGGAGUACAUAAAGUCAGUCAUGAGAUAUUUGCACACCUGGUAUCUAUAGGUAUUUUCGUGAUCUAUCACCCCAUUGUGAUGCAAAGUGCUUAAAGGAUGGAGACUUAAGUCAAGCGUUCUGAUUCAUCCACAUUUAAGCACUGCCAGCUGUGUUUCUCAAGACGAUUGACCAGAGUCUAUUAUCCUUGGUAGGUCAAAGUGGGAUCUCGGUGAUGAGACACACUCCAUUUCACCAACUCAUUGCCUCUAAUUUACAGUACGUUUUCUAACUUUAGCACUAUUUGCUCUGAUAUAAAUCUUAAGUGGACACAAAAGGGCUAUUGAGUGAAGCAUUUGAGUACAUUAUUUUACAGGGAUUAGUCCAGGACCUAAUGGAAACCAAAGAGAUGUUAAAAUAAAAACAGUUUGUUAAACA